rnacentral:rRNA from 1 species
AUAAGAGGUCCCGCCUGCCCUGUGACUAUAAGUUUAACGGCCGCGGUAUUUUGACCGUGCGAAGGUAGCGCAAUCACUUGUCUUUUAAAUGGAGACCUGUAUGAAUGGCACGACGAGGGCUUAACUGUCUCCUUUUUCCAGUCAAUGAAACUGAUCUCCCCGUGCAGAAGCGGGGAUAAUCCCAUAAGACGAGAAGACCCUAUGGAGCUUCAGACACUAAAGCAGAUCAUGUUAAACACCCCGACUCCAUCGGACCAAACCAAAUGACCCCCUGCCCUAAUGUCUUUGGUUGGGGCGACCGCGGGGAAAUAAAAAACCCCCAUGUGGACUGAGAGCACCCCUCUUACAUCCCAGAGUUACCACUCUAAUAAACAGAACUUCUGACCUGUCUGAUCCGGCAAUGCCGAUCAACGGACCGAGUUACCCUAGGGAUAACAGCGCAAUCCUCUUUUAGAGCCCAUAUCGACAAGAGGGUUUACGACCUCGAUGUUGGAUCAGGACAUCCUAAUGGUGCAGCCGCUAUUAAGGGUUCGUUUGUUCAACGAUUAAAGUCC